CUACUGUAGAAGUAGUUAGUGGCCAUCACUGUUUACUAUCAAUGUCUUGUGGUUCACAUCAAAGGUAAUCAGCAGGUUGCUCACCUGAUUGCUUCUGUAAAAAGUGUGGUGGUCCAUCAGGUGCUGUCCCAGCCGUCCUGGUGGCCAACCAGGGGCUGUCAGAAUCAACUGGUGGCCAAUCAGGGGCCACAAGAACAGGUCUCGUGGUCCACCAGGUGCUGUCAGAGUAAACCUGGUGGCCAGUCACGUGCCACCAGAACAGGUCUGGUGGUCCACCAGCUACAAUCAGGGAGUGUCUGGUGGUCCACCAGGUGCAAUCAGGGAAUGCCUAGUGGGCCACCAGAUGCCACCAAACAAAUGUGAUUGGCCAUCAGAAUUUCUGGUGGUCCACCAGCAUUAUUUUUUGAUAGGGCAUGCACUCUCUAUGUUGAAGCUUUAAAUACGUCGGAAAGGGAAACACACACACAAAAAAGAGAGAAACACUGUCAAGGAGCCCGCGAAGAGGGAAUCAAAUACGUAACAUGAAAAACGGUUAGGAGCAACUAAGAUUUAUUUGAACAAGAACUUUCGUGCAGUCCCGUGCACAAAAGUUCUUGUUCAAAUAAAUCUUAGUUGCUCCUAACCGUUUUUCAUGUUACGUGUUUAAAGCUUUAACAUAGAAAUCUGGGAAUGUGAACAUCUACAGUUUUAAACAAUGGGAUAUCGUGGCCUCCCCCCAAAGCGAAUCCAAAACCAAUUUAGUAAAUCUGAAGUCAUACUUGAUGAAUCCCGUCCAGUGUUAAUGAGUCAUUCGUUGUUAACGUUCACUGCAUCACAAUUCACUGCACGGUUCACUGGAAACCAACACUCCGUGCGCCAUGCGAUACCUGAUAUCUCACUUGGGAGAUUUCACAGCAUAUUGGCUGCACAGGUACAUACAUUCAGAGAUCAGGCAUGACAGAGAUCAUAUCCAUAUUCCUUUCCUGCUUGUGUAGGCGUCUGGUUGACUCGUCACAAAGGAGCUUGCGCAGCUGCUAUACCGAAAGAUGAUGCUCCAACCACUUAUCCAUUCUACUGUAUCCUUGCAGAUGCUUUUUCUGAAGCAGAUAUGAGUUGAGUGCUUAUACCUGAACAAGAAAGAUAGGGAUCAGAAACGUGAAAACAAAAAAUUCUACAUGCCAAAAUGUUGCAUAUAGGAGCUAACUUGCCUGUCAUAGAGUGGGUAGUGGAAAAACGCAGUAUUGGUCCUUCUUGAAUCGUUGUCGCACCAAGCAAGUGAGGCACACCUGUCUGUCUUCCACUUAUCUAUCAUUGAAUUGACUUGCAGAAGUAUCCAUCAUGCACCGAGUUUUUCAGAGUUGGUAUCGACAACCUGUUAGGGAAGGACACUAAAAAUCAUCCAAAGCGGUACCGGCAUAGACGGUUUCCUUGCGUCCCUGCUGCACUCACCACAUUUCGAAACUUUACCAGCCGCAGGCUGUAAAGCGAAUCGCCAGCCGCCGGCUCUAAAGCGAAACGCACCGCCUCCAAAAUAAUGUCGCCACCGGCGCGCGUACGCUAACGAUCUCUGAUUGGCUGCGCAAUAUAUGUAUAAAUAUUUGGAUGCUCAUUGGUCUAAAAAACUGGCGUCAGUUUCCUUUGCGCUGAUUGGGCGAGGGUCAUUUGACUGAGGAGCGAGCAUCCGAACGCGCGAACCGCUCAACGGAAGCAGGCGAACGGAGGAGAAUCACGUCUGUUCGGCCACGCGUGUUCUCUCGGACUGCAACCGUUGUGCACGCAGACGCUAGGGGUAGUUUGAGGGUUUUGAAUGCUUUAGAUUUAGAUUGUGGCGAACUGCUAAUGUGAGAACGGAAUGGCACGUCAACCUCAUCAUCACAACAGCGGGAAGACGAGCAUGUGAUGGAAUCCCUGCACCUCCAAAGGACGCAGAAAUCGUCAGAGAGGAAGUCUGCACUCUUUCCGACGUACUGCAGGUGAACGCCAUCGGCAACAACGACGCACAUAGCCCAGCAUUGGCUUUUGAACUGCCCUUCGAUGUCGAAGCACCUAAAGCUCCAGUGAAGCCUGUUACAAGACCUAAAAAGAUAUGUACUGUAGCAUUUUCGAGGCAGUUCCCGACGACAAAUAAAGUUGUUUUGUCAUACA